AGAAUCAACGCUGGCGGCGUGCCUAACACAUGCAAGUCGAACGAGAAAGUGGAGCAAUCCAUGAGUACAGUGGCACACGGGUGAGUAACACGUGACUAACCUACCCUUGAGUGGGGAAUAAACCUGGAGAAAUCUAGGCUAAUACCGCAUAACACCUACGGGUCAAAGGAGCAAUUCGCUUAAGGAGGGGGUCGCGGCAGAUUAGCUAGUUGGCGGGGUAAUGGCCCACCAAGGCAGUGAUCUGUA
rnacentral:rRNA from 1 species